GUGAAUCAUCAAAUCUUUGAACGCAAAUUGCGCUUCCUGGCAUCCCGGGAAGUAUGCCUGUUUGAGGGUCAGUAUUAAUAAAAAAUCGGUUUGGUUGCAAAUUGUGACGUUUUCGGAGUUUGGGCUAUCUUAACUUUUUUGGUUAAGGGGCUUAAAAUUGACCUUAUUUGUGCUUUUUUAGACGUACAUAAAUUUUUUUUUAUUCGUCUAUUCUUAAUGCCAAAAUCUUAUUAGAUGCGAUCACAUCGUGUGGUUUAGUGUCCAUAAAAUUUUCAUGAUUUGACUUCAAAUCAGGCAGGAG
rnacentral:misc_RNA from 1 species